rnacentral:rRNA from 1 species
CCUACGGGAUGCAGCAGUGGGGAAUAUUGCACAAUGGGCGCAAGCCUGAUGCAGCCAUGCCGCGUGUAUGAAGAAGGUCUUCGGGUUGUAAAGUACUUUCAGCGGGGAGGAAGGCGGUGAGGUUAAUAACCUCACCGAUUGACGUUACCCGCAGAAGAAGCACCGGCUAACUCCGUGCCAGCAGCCGCGGUAAUACGGAGGGUGCAAGCGUUAAUCGGAAUUACUGGGCGUAAAGCGCACGCAGGCGGUCUGUCAAGUCGGAUGUGAAAUCCCCGGGCUCAACCUGGGAACUGCAUUCGAAACUGGCAGGCUAGAGUCUUGUAGAGGGGGGUAGAAUUCCAGGUGUAGCGGUGAAAUGCGUAGAGAUCUGAAGGAAUACCAGUGGCGAAGGCGGCCCCCUGGACAAAGACUGACGCUCAGAUGCGAAAGCGUGGGGAGCAAACAGGAUUAGAUACCCUUGUAGUC